AAAUUAAACUUCAAUUUAAAUUCUAAUUAGACACAGGAGCCUGUCAUCAAAUGAAAAACAACCAUGAUGGCUACUCUGUUUCUCUUCAUGUCUACAUACCACCUUUUGAUAGAUGUAACACGUACGAUGAAGCAGGUGGAGCUGCCAUACCCGUAACGCCCUCGUUUAUCUCACGUGGCGGUUUUGCGGUGGACCGAAAAAGCAGACGUUUACUUGAUGUAUUGAACAUUAGGCCUAUAAUCCAAAUGUAAUUUUUGUGCUUUGAAAUGUACUUUCUUAUUAUGUUCUGUAUCUUGUGAAUAUUAUAAACAUUCUGAUUCUGAAAUACAGUUUAUUUCACACACACACAUACACACACAAAACGAUAACCAUUUAUCUGCUUUGAAUAGUAGUUCUCAAAACUGUGGUCCGUGGACCCCUAAAACGAGCUUAAGGGUCCACAAAAAGAUAAAAAUUGUAUAGAAUUAAAAUAACGUCUUUGUUUACAGCCAGUUUCUCCGAUCGGAUAACUUGAAUCAUUAUCC
rnacentral:sRNA from 1 species